UACGAAGGGGGCUAGCGUUGUUCGGAAUUACUGGGCGUAAAGGGCGCGUAGGCGGCUUAACAAGUCACUUGUGAAAUCUCCGGGCUUAACUCGGAACGGCCAAGUGAAACUGUCAAGCUAGAGUGCAGAAGGGGCAAUCGGAAUUCUUGGUGUAGCGGUGAAAUGCGUAGAUAUCAAGAGGAACACCUGAGGUGAAGACGGGUUGCUGGGCUGACACUGACGCUGAGGCGCGAAAGCCAGGGGAGCAAACGGG
rnacentral:rRNA from 1 species